AUGUUGUCUUCCCUUCUUCCCCAGGUCAUCCUUUCUGGAGCUGGAAUCUCGCUCUCUUUAUGUCUCUCUUCAGAUGGGCUUGAGAAAGGCGGUCUGGUCUGGCCCCCUCUUCCUGAAGAGUUGCAGGACCGUGGGCCCUCUGGACUGCUGUGCUGUCUUUUCUUCCUCUUCCGGCUACUGCUCCUGCUGCUCCUCCUUCCUUUAGCUUCCUUUCUGUCGGUUGGCGUCCUUGGAACUCUUGGAGGACUUGCGGUUCUUGGUGACCUUUUCUAUCUGAGGUGUGAGCGGGGAGGAGGGCGCAGAAGCUGGAGGAUGGGAGGGAGGCGGUGGCUGAGGAGAGAGGGGAGAGGAAGCAGGAAAGGAGAGAUACCUUUCCUUCCGCCUGCUGACCAACUUCCUUCUCAGAUCCUCCACUCCUACCACGGGCUCAUCCUCAGGCUCCAUGUCCACCUCCCAGUUGCUCUCUGUGCGGACGGACACAAAGCCGUCCCCGUCCAGCACCCGGAGGAUGCGUUCUGGCUUUGA
ensembl:lncRNA